rnacentral:rRNA from 1 species
GUUGUGGUUAAAAAGCUCGUAGUUGGAUCUCGGCGGACUGAGGGCGGUUUGCUUGCUAGUAUUACUGCCCUAUAGUCCGUAGUUUUGCCAGAGGUUUCGGGGUGCUCUUAAUCGAGUGUCCCGGGAUGCUGCAGGUUUACUUUGAAAAAAUUAGAGUGCUCAAAGCAGGCUAUUACGCCUGAAUAUUCGUGCAUGGAAUAAUAGAAUAGGAAGUCGUUUCUAUUUUGUUGGUUUUCGGAAAUCGACUUAAUGAUUAAUAGGGACAGUCGGGGGCAUUUGUACUCAAACGACAGAGGUGAAAUUCUUGGACCGUUUGAAGACAAACUACUGCGAAAGCAUUUGCCAAGAAUGUUUUCAUUAAUCAAGAACGAAAGUUAAAGGUUCGAAGGCGAUUAGAUACCGCCCUAGUUUUAACCAUAAACGAUGCCAGCUAGCGAUCUGCGGACGUUUUUUUUGUAGACUCCGCAGGAAGCUUCCGGGAAACCAAAGCAUUUGGGUUCCCAGGGGAAGUAUGGUUGCAAAGCUGAAACUUUAAAGGAAUUGACGGAAGGGCACCACCCAGGAGUUGGAGCCUGUGGGCUUAA